rnacentral:rRNA from 1 species
GUGUUUGGCACCUCGAUGUCGGCUCAUCACAUCCUGGGCUGAAGUAGGUCCCAAGGGUAUGGCUGUUCGCCAUUUAAAGUGGUACGCGAGCUGGGUUUAGAACGUCGUGAGACAGUUCGGUCCCUAUCUGCCGUGGGCGCUGGAGAAUUGAGGGGGCUGCUCCUAGUACGAGAGGACCGGAGUGGACGCAUCACUGGUGUUCGGGUUGUCAUGCCAAUGGCACUGCCCGGUAGCUAAAUGCGGAAGAGAUAAGUGCUGAAAGCAUCUAAGCACGAAACUUGCCCCGAGAUGAGUUCUCCCUGACUCCUUGAGAGUCCUGAAGGAACGUUGAAGACGACGACGUUGAUAGGCCGGGUGUGUAAGCGCAGCGAUGCGUUGAGCUAACCGGUACUAAUGAACCGUGAGGCUUAACCUUACAACGCCGAAGGUGUUU